CGGUCGUGCCUCAGUAGAGGCCUGGAACUCCGAGGAGGAAGGCGCCGUGUGGUUGCUGCGAGCGGGACGCGCCCUGCCCGGGCUCAGCUCCCGAGCUGGGGAAACCUUAAGAAUGGAGUCUAAACCUUCAAGGAUUCCAAGAAGAAUUUCCGUUCAACCCUCCAGCUCUUUAAGUGCUAGGAUGAUGUCUGGAAGCAGAGGAAGUAGUUUCAGUGAUACCUAUCACACAAGAGAUUCUUCAUUUAGACUGGAUUCUGAAUAUCAGUCUACAUCAGCAUCAGCAUCCGCAUCAUCAUUUCAACCUGCAUGGUAUAGUGAAUCUGAGUUAACUCAGGGAGCACGCUCAAGAUUGCAAAACCAGCAACGAGAUCAUGAUUCAAAAAGACCUAAACUUUCCUGUACGAACUGUACAUCUACCUCAGUUGGGAGAAAUGUUGGAAAUGGUUUAAAUACAGUAGCAGAUUCAUCUUGGAGGCAUAAUCAAGUUUCCAGAUCUUCAUCAAUGGUACUUGGUUCAUUUGGAACAGACUUAAUGAGAGAGAGGAGAGAUUUGGAGAGGAGAACAGAUUCCUCUCUUAGUAAUCUCCUGGAUUAUAGUCACCGAAGUGGUGAUUUCACAACUUCAUCAUAUGUUCAAGACAGAGUUCCUGCUUCAUAUUCACAGGGAGCAAGACCAAAAGAGAACUCAGUGAGCACUUUACAGUUGAAUACAUCCUCCACAAACCACCAAUUGCCUUCUGAACAUCAAACCCUAUCAAGUUCUAGGGAAUCCAGCCGAAACUCUUUACGAUCAAAUUUUUCUCCCCGAAGCAGUACACAACCUGGAUUUUCUUAUAUGUCAAGUAGAGAUGAAAUCCCAAACAUGAGCAAUUCAGAAAGGGUUGGUUCAUCUCAAAGGUCAUUUCAAGAAUCUUCUGACAAUGAAGGUAGGCGGACAACCAGGAGAUUGCUGUCACGUAUAGCUUCUAGCAUGUCAUCUACCUUUUUUUCACGAAGAUCUAGUCAGGAUUCCUUGAAUUCAAGAUCAUUGAGUUCUGAAAAUUCAUAUAUUUCUCCGAGAAUCUUGACAACCUCACAGUCUCGUAGUAAUACAACAUCAACUUCUGAAGUUCCUGAUAAUAGGGCAUCUGAAGCUUCUCAGGGAUUCCGAUUUCUUAGGCGAAGAUGGGGUUUGUCAUCUCUUAGCCAAAAUCAUAGCUCUGAGCCAGACUCAGAAAAUUUUAACCAAGAAUCUGAAGGUAGAAAUUCAGGACCUUGGUUAUCGUCCUCAUUUAGGAAUAGAUGUACACCUUUGUUCUCUAGAAGGAGGCGAGAGGGAAGAGAUGAAUCUUCAAGAAUACCUACCUCUGAUAUACCAUCUAGAUCUCAUAUUUUUAGAAGAGAAUCAAAUGAAGUGGUUCAUCUUGAAGCACAGAGCGAUGGGGCUGCUGCCAACAGACCACAAGCAUCUGCAGCAUCGAGCAGUGCUGCUACAGGGGGCUUCACAUCAGAUUCGGCUCAAGGUGGAAGAAAUACAGGAAUAACAGGGAUUCUUCCUGGUUCCUUAUUCCGAUUUGCAGUCCCCCCAGCACUUGGAAGUAAUUUGACUGACAAUGUCAUGAUCACUGUAGAUAUUAUUCCUUCAGGUUGGAAUUCAACUGAUGGAAAAAGUGAUAAAACUAAAAAUGCACCUUCAAGAGAUCCAGAAAGACUGCAGAAAAUAAAAGAGAGACAACCAGUAAAUGGGAUUGGUAAGAGGAACGAAGUGUUCAUGGAUUACCACCUCCUUUUAGAGGACUCUGAAGAAGAAGAAGGUGACUUAUGUAGAAUAUGUCAGAUGGCAGCUGCAUCAUCAUCUAAUUUGCUGAUAGAGCCAUGCAAAUGCACGGGAAGCUUGCAGUAUGUUCACCAAGAAUGUAUGAAAAAAUGGUUACAGGCCAAAAUUAACUCUGGUUCUUCAUUAGAGGCUGUAACCACCUGUGAACUUUGUAAAGAGAAGUUGCAGCUUAACCUGGAGGAUUUUGAUAUUCAUGAACUACAUAGAGCUCAUGCAAAUGAACAAGUUAGUAUAUUUUGCCUAAUUUGGCUGAGUAUGAGUUUAUCAGCUCUGGUCUCUACCUAGUUGUGUUACUGCACUUGUGCGAACAAAGCUUUUCUGAUAUGAUGGGAAAUACAAAUGAACCAAGCACACGUGUCCGGUUUAUUAACCUUGCAAGAACUCUUCAGGCACAUAUGGAAGAUCUCGAAACUUCAGAGGAUGAUUCUGAAGAAGAUGGAGACCUUAACAGAACAUUUGAUAUUGCCUAACUUCAUAUAAGACAAAUGGAUGAUCUGUGAACAAGUGUUUAUUAAAACUGGCAAUUAAGUAUGAAUUAAUUUUGUGGGGGAAUGCCUAUUAAAUACAUUGACUAUCUGUAUAUAUAAUGAAUAUAUAUAUGUGUGUGUGUGUAUAUAUAUAUAUAUGUGUGUAUAUAUAUAUAUAUAUUCAUGCUCAAGGUUGGCUGCGUUAAAAUUCCGUUGGAUCUUUUAACAUGGCCAGCAAAUCUGAUGUUUAUAAACUGGUAAUCAAAAGUAUUUUUCUUUUAGGUGAGUGGGAAAGUAUUACCCUUGUUUUAGAUAUCUAAGCGAUGCCUAUUAACUUUUUUGUGUGUGUUCUGGUUAAUAUAGUCAUAUUUAUGAAAAAGGUUCGUGUUUUAGUCUCUUGCUAGUGAGAAAAGUGAGACAAAUAUGCUUUUGAAAUAAAAUGCCAUAUGGCACCUAGUUAUUUUUCUUUUAAAUGCCUUAAGUUGCAGUCUCAUUUUGGUAAUCAUUUGCUUCCAGUGUUUAAAAAUAAAAAUAUUUUAAAAAGAUUGGGGAGAAAGUUAUGGAGAGUAUUAUAUUAGGUUUCCAAAUUUAAUUUAAAUUCUAAAUUAACUUCGCAAUAAAACCUAAUUUUUAAAAAAGUAUAUAAAUAUAAAAUAUAUAAAUGAUGGACAAAUUUUUGUACUGAUUUGCAAAAUGCAGUAGCCCAUAGUAUGUAUAUAUUCCUUUUAGGAGUAUCACAGCUGUAUAUUAUAUCAGAAUUGCCAGUCAAAUACUGUUUGGUUAAGAAAAUUAUUGCACUCUAAAGUUAAUAGAAUAUUUUUAAAUCCCACAUUCAAAGUUUAAAACACUGGUUUUCAAUGUGGUUUUUAGUGUUGUCACUUUAUAGAUAAAUAUAAUAUAAAUAACCUAUUUGGAUCCUGAUUGUUUUUAACUGUUCCUUGGUAAUUCUGAGCAUUUAUUUGAAUGACUUACUAAUAUUUUUCACUACCUUUGAAGAACAGGUGAACAUAGGUGUACACUGUGGUGAUAAGUUGUGUAUACUUUCAUAACACUGUAUUUUUUCUUCUGUCAACACCCUUAAAAUACACUUUAAAACACCUUCAGGCAGUUUCAAGUUAAAGUCUGCUGUCACAGCAACAAACUACUUUUUCAGAACCUAAAUAGAAACCAUGUAAUUUCUCAAAUGUGAAUGAACAGUUUGCCUACACUUACUUUGUUGGUCUUAUGUAAUCUCUUGGCUUGAAAUAAAGUGCAUACCGAUUGAUUCAUAGCUUGAAAUGUUUCCUUUUAAAUGGGUGCUCUAAGAUGACUUCAAACCUUAUAGUCUAGAAUCUUAUUAAAAGUUCAAAAGCUGUUGAAUGUAGUGAUAUAAAUGUUUCUAAAACAUUAGUUCAGCUCUUGCCUAUUAUCCUUCCAUUGCCUUACUUAAAACAAAAACACAGAAUUUAAAGAUGCCAGUGUUAAUAUAUUCUAUAGGUCUUCGGAGGUGCUUUGAAUUUGAAGUACAUACUUUUUUUUUCUUUUCUUUUUCCUAAUUUUUGCCAGAGGAUGCAUGUACUCACCAGAGAGAGGGAGAAGGCUCCCUACUUUGGGAAUGGGCAUGCUACAGUCUCUUCUCAGUUUCUCCAUCCUGUCAGGAUUUGGGACAGGCAUGCACAUGCACCCAGUGUGUUUCUCAAGCUGCUAGGUCUAGGACUUGAACUGCAGGGUUGGCCAAGUGGGUUCUGACUGCUUUAACUACCAAAUGACAGAGCUGGCCCAGAAGUAUUUAAAUUGCUAAUAGGAUUCAUUAUAAAAAUUAAGUGUCUUCUGCUUAUCCCACAAAAUUUUUAUUUAAAUAAUUUAAAUGGUAGAAAACAUUUGGUUGGUAUGCAUAUAAUUUAUAUAUAGUUUGUCAUUAGAAGCUAAAUGACAGGGAUAACAGAGAAUGUCCUGAGUGAUAAGUAUUGUAUUGGAUCAUGAAAAAAGUCAUGACACUUUUUUGCCUAGAAAACCAAAAAUAUGUCAUGGCUUUUCCAAUGACUCAGCAGUUCCUCAUUAUCACUUAAUACUUAAAUAUUUGCCAUAUUAGCUUGAUAGUGUAAUUGUGACACCUGGAUACCAUAUUAGCUUGAUAGUGUAAUUGUGACACCUGGAUAAGAAGAAAUGAAAAAGAAAUCAUUAUCAGUUUAAAAUUCUGAACAGAAAUAAACAGACCAUGUAUUCCUUACCACCAAGAUAGCAUAUUCCUAAAUGUAACUUAAAAUGUCAUUCUCCCUAGAUAUCUGCCAAACAGAAGAAUUGUUAUUUUUAGCUGGAACCCAGAUAUUGAAGCAUUUUCUACAUUCUGAAUGUAGUAAAUAAGCCUGCAUAUGUAAUUGUUAAUAUUAAAAAUAAAUAAUGCCUUGAAGGAUCUACUUAUCUGAUGACCAGUGAAUCGAUAUAAGUGCCUGGUAUAGAUGUUGUAAUAUUAAAAAAAACUAAGAUUUAGUAUCUUCAUUACUGGGGGCUUCUAGACCUGUUGGAGAGUGAAGUCAAACAUUGAAACUUAAAUUACAGUUUAAAACUUAUGGAUAAGCUGGCAUUAGGUAGAAUUUGUCAAAAUGUACAGAAAAAAAUUUAUGAAGUUGAGUUGAAGGGGUGAUUCUAGAGCCAGAACUAUCCAAUAAAACUGUAUAAUAAUGGAAAUGUUAUGUACAUUGCCUAGUAAAGUUAGCCAAUAACCACAUGUGAUGUAGUUAAUGUAGUUGAUGGGCUGAAUUUUAAACUGUACUUAAUAUACUAAAUGAUUGGACAUUGUAGUGCUUGAGAUUUGAGACGGUUGGUUUUAGGAAAUUGAUAAAGAUUGGUCUCCAUUCUUAAAUGAGUGGUAGAAAUUUGGUAGGGCAAGGAAUUCCAGACCAUAAUGUUCACAGUUAUAACUAUUAGUAGAUAUCUAUAAUAAAAUAGCAAUCUCCAUCACUAAACAAAAUCUCAGGUUUAAAGCACUUAUGGAGUACAGUGUGUCCAUGUAAUACAGGUAGUGUAACACUUGCUUCAUAAAGUGCCUCAUGACCACACCCUGCAGUUUUCUGUCACCACUUUGUAGUUAUUCAUGUCAUUAACAAUAGUGCUCUCAAUUCUGAUGAGGGAUGUUUUUUAUUCAUAGUGGUCACUGAGAACAGACCGCACAGGCUGGGACUUUGUUGCCAUUAAUCAAGCUGGAAACAGUGUGGCUCCCCAUGAGAAAAUUAUUCCUCAUAAAAUAAUUAAAGGAA